AGUCGAGUCCGUAACCCAGCAGCAUCAUCACCUAAAGGCGCAUACCAACUUCGAUUCAUGCCACCGUUGUUCGCCGUCUCGCACCAUGGCCAAGCCGGACAGCAAUCCGGACUGAAGGACGGAUCUUGGCAAUGGAAAAAAAAGCAAGCGAAACCCUGUUGAAAGCUUCAGGAGAGUUCAUCCUGUUCAAGCCUCCUAUGUUUGUUUAUCACACCUCUCCUUCACCAUUAUCACCGUCACGUAAGGAGGUGAUUCCGAGUUAGAGGAGUCGUCAAACUCGCUUCACGCGCCAUCGCCGGGAAGGGUAAACCCUAGAUCUGAAAAGGGAAAAUUAGAUCUGAUACCCUUCAAUCCUAAAAGCCGACCCUCCUUUUCCCAACCUAGCCCUAGACUCGCCGCCACUCCAAACGAAGAGCAUCGUCUCCAACCACAACACGAGCUCAGGAGGAAACGACCACGUCAGAAUAGCAAGCAUAUCGUCUUGGUUUUGGACUAGGGAAAGGAAAGCAAAGAAAAAAUAAGGAAGGAGAAGGGGAAUCGCCUCCGGCACAGCCAAAUCGGCCGGCCGGAGCUAGGGAUUGAAAUCGCUCCGGUCUCUCUCUCUCUGGACUUUUUUUUGAUAGAAAAUAUGUCACAACCUCCACAAAACUUAACAAACUAGUAAAGAAAUAAAUAUUUAA
rnacentral:lncRNA from 1 species